rnacentral:rRNA from 1 species
AUUGAACGCUGGCGGCGUGCUUAACACAUGCAAGUCGAUCGGUAACGCGGGGGCAACCCUGGCGACGAGAGGCGGACGGGUGAGGAACGCUUGGGAAUCUGCCCAUCAGCGGGGGACAACCCGGGGAAACUCGGGCUAAUACCGCAUACGCUCUACGGAGGAAAGCCGGGGACCGCAAGGCCUGGCACUGAUGGAUGAGCCCAACUCGGAUUAGCUAGUUGGCGGGGUAACGGCCCACCAAGGCGACGAUCCGUAGCUGGUCGGAGAGGACGAUCAGGCACACUGGGAGUGAGACAGGACCCCGACUCCUACGGGAGGCAGCAGUGGGGAAUAUUGGACGAUGGGGGCAACCCUGAUCCAGCGACGCCGCGUGGGUGAAGAAGGCCUGCGGGUUGUAAAGCCCUUUCGAUGGGGACGAAAGCUUCCGACCUAACACGUCGGGAGUCUGUCUUAACCCAUAUAAGAAGCACCGGCUAACUCUGUGCCAGCCGCCGCGGUAAAAC